rnacentral:rRNA from 1 species
AUACGUAGGUGGCAAGCGUUAUCCGGAUUUAUUGGGCGUAAAGCGAGCGCAGGCGGUUUUUUAAGUCUGAUGUGAAAGCCCUCGGCUUAACCGAGGAAGCGCAUCGGAAACUGGGAAACUUGAGUGCAGAAGAGGACAGUGGAACUCCAUGUGUAGCGGUGAAAUGCGUAGAUAUAUGGAAGAACACCAAUGGCGAAGGCGGCUGUCUGGUCUGUAACUGACGCUGAGGCUCGAAAGCAUGGGUAGCGAACAGGAUUAGAUACCCUGGUAGUCCAUGCCGUAAACGAUGAAUGCUAGGUGUUGGAGGGUUUCGAUACCCUUAGUGCCGAAGUUAACACAUUAAGCACUCCGCCUGGGGAGUACGACCGCAAGGUUGAA